ensembl:snRNA U6 U6 spliceosomal RNA
GUGCCUACUUCAGCAGCAUCUGUACUAAAAUUUGAAGAAUACAAAAAAGAUUAACAUGGCCCCUUUUGCAAGGAUGUGUAAAUUUUUGAAAUGUUCCAUAUUUUG